rnacentral:rRNA from 1 species
GCUUGCACUGGGUGGAUGAGUGGCGAACGGGUGAGUAAUACGUGAGUAACCUGCCCUUGACUCUGGGAUAAGCCUGGGAAACUGGGUCUAAUACUGGAUACGACGGCGCAUCGCAUGGUGUGUUGUGGAAAGGGUUUUACUGGUUUUGGAUGGUCUCACGGCCUAUCACCUUGUUGGUGGGGUAAUGGCUCACCAAGGCGACGACGGGUAGCCGGCCUGAGAGGGUGACCGGCCACACUGGGACUGACACACGGCCCACACUCCUACGGGAGGCAGCAGUGGGGAAUAUUGCACAAUGGGCGGAAGCCUGAUGCAGCGACGCCGCGUGAGGGAUGACGGCCUUCGGGUUGUAAACCUCUUUCAGCACGGAAGAAGCGAGAGUGACGGUACGUGCAGAAGAAGCGCCGGCUAACUACGUGCCAGACAGCCGCGGUAAUACGUAGGGCGCAAGCGUUGUCCGGAAUUAUUGUUCGUAAAGAGCUCGUAUGCGGUUUGUCGCGUCUGCUGUGAAAGCGCGGGCUUAACUCCGGGUGUGCUGUGCCUACGGGCAGACUUGAGUGCGUAGGGGAUACUGGAAUUCCUGAUGUAGCGUGAACUGCGC